rnacentral:rRNA from 1 species
UGGGGAAUAUUGCACAAUGGGGGAAACCCUGAUGCAGCGACGCCGCGUGAGCGAUGAAGGCUUUCGAGUCGUAAAGCUCUGUCCUAUGGGAAGAUAAUGACGGUACCACAGAAGAAAGCCCCGGCUAAUUACGUGCCAGCAGCCGCGGUAAUACGUAAGGGGCGAGCGUUGUCCGGAAUUAUUGGGCGUAAAGAGUGCGUAGGCGGCAAAUUAAGUCAGAUGUGAAAACUAAGGGCUCAACCCAUAGAUUGCAUCUGAAACUGAUAUGCUUGAGUCAAGGAGAGGAAAGUGGAAUUCCUAGUGUAGCGGUGGAAUGCGUAGAUAUUAGGAGGAAUACCGGUGGCGAAGGCGACUUUCUGGACUUGAACUGACGCUGAGGCACGAAAGCGUGGGGAGCAAACAGG